GCCCUUCAGGCCUAACACAUGCAAGUCGAGCGGAGAACAUGAAGUGUUUACACGGAUUGUUCUUAGCGGCGGACGGGUGAGUAACACGUGGGUAACCUGCCUCAAAGUGGGGGAUAGCCUUUCGAAAGGAAGAUUAAUACCGCAUAAGCCUGCAGCACCGCAUGGUGCAGCAGGAAAAGGAGCAAUCCGCUUUGAGAUGGACCCGCGGCGCAUUAGCUAGUUGGUGAGGUAACGGCUCACCAAGGCCACGAUGCGUAGCCGACCUGAGAGGGUGAUCGGCCACAUUGGAACUGAGACACGGUCCAGACUCCUACGGGAGGCAGCAGUGGGGAAUAUUGCACAAUGGGCGAAAGCCUGAUGCAGCAACGCCGCGUGAGUGAUGAAGGCCUUCGGGUCGUAAAAUUCUGUCMUMGGGGACGAUAAUGACGGUACCCUAGGAGSAAGCCCCGGCUAACUACGUGCCAGCAGCCGCGGUAAUAAGGGC
rnacentral:rRNA from 1 species